rnacentral:rRNA from 1 species
GACGAACGCUGGCGGCGUGCUUAACACAUGCAAGUCGAACGAUGAUGCCCAGCUUGCUGGGUGGAUUAGUGGCGAACGGGUGAGUAACACGUGAGUAACCUGCCCCUGACUCUGGGAUAAGCGUUGGAAACGACGUCUAAUACUGGAUAUGAUCACUGGCCGCAUGGUCUGGUGGUGGAAAGAUUUUUUGGUUGGGGAUGGACUCGCGGCCUAUCAGCUUGUUGGUGAGGUAAUGGCUCACCAAGGCGACGACGGGUAGCCGGCCUGAGAGGGUGACCGGCCACACUGGGACUGAGACACGGCCCAGACUCCUACGGGAGGCAGCAGUGGGGAAUAUUGCACAAUGGGCGAAAGCCUGAUGCAGCAACGCCGCGUGAGGGAUGACGGCCUUCGGGUUGUAAACCUCUUUUAGUAGGGAAGAAGCGAAAGUGACGGUACCUGCAGAAAAAGCACCGGCUAACUACGUGCCAGCAGCCGCGGUAAUACGUAGGGUGCAAGCGUUGUCCGGAAUUAUUGGGCGUAAAGAGCUCGUAGGCGGUUUGUCGCGUCUGCUGUGAAAUCCCGAGGCUCAACCUCGGGCUUGCAGUGGGUACGGGCAGACUAGAGUGCGGUAGGGGAGAUUGGAAUUCCUGGUGUAGCGGUGGAAUGCGCAGAUAUCAGGAGGAACACCGAUGGCGAAGGCAGAUCUCUGGGCCGUAACUGACGCUGAGGAGCGAAAGCAUGGGGAGCGAACAGGAUUAGAUACCCUGGUAGUCCAUGCCGUAAACGUUGGGCGCUAGAUGUAGGGACCUUUCCACGGUUUCUGUGUCGUAGCUAACGCAUUAAGCGCCCCGCCUGGGGAGUACGGCCGCAAGGCUAAAACUCAAAGGAAUUGACGGGGGCCCGCACAAGCGGCGGAGCAUGCGGAUUAAUUCGAUGCAACGCGAAGAACCUUACCAAGGCUUGACAUACACCGGAAACGGCCAGAGAUGGUCGCCCCCUUGUGGUCGGUGUACAGGUGGUGCAUGGUUGUCGUCAGCUCGUGUCGUGAGAUGUUGGGUUAAGUCCCGCAACGAGCGCAACCCUCGUUCUAUGUUGCCAGCGGGUUAUGCCGGGGACUCAUAGGAGACUGCCGGGGUCAACUCGGAGGAAGGUGGGGAUGACGUCAAAUCAUCAUGCCCCUUAUGUCUUGGGCUUCACGCAUGCUACAAUGGCCGGUACAAAGGGCUGCGAUACCGUAAGGUGGAGCGAAUCCCAAAAAACCGGUCUCAGUUCGGAUUGAGGUCUGCAACUCGACCUCAUGAAGUCGGAGUCGCUAGUAAUCGCAGAUCAGCAACGCUGCGGUGAAUACGUUCCCGGGCCU